rnacentral:misc_RNA from 1 species
CCCUAAUGUUUGUAUAGGGACUAGGAAGCUAUUCCCUUUUCCCCUCUUAAAAUUUAUGACAUGACAGAACAUUACUGUUUGCAGUUUUGUUCAAACUAGCAUAGCUAUAAGAAGACUUUGGAGGAAGGAACAUGGGGUACCCAGCCAAAAAUAGCUCAAAGAAACGAACUUUCCAGAGACAUUAUAAAUUCUUUACCUACAAAAUUCAGGAUACAUGAUAUCAAAAAUAAGAUUUUUUUUAAUUUCUUGAUACAAAUAAAAUUCUGCUAAGAGACAAAAUGUCGUAACGCUAACAAUUUUUGGUUCAAGUUUUUUUUGGUUUAAAGUAGUGCAUUAGAUUUUAUUUCUGCGUCACACCAAUGUACAACUUGUACUAAAUCACCGACAGAGGCAGAGAAUCUAAGUUGAGACUUGCGAUAGUCAAAGAAAAGGUUACAGCAAAAACUGGCAGAAACUACAUCCGCUUUUGCAAUUAUGACCACUUCUAAAAUGAAAUACUUUUACUCAUACUAUAACAACAUCUGCUUUUUCAAUGUACUGCUUGUACUAGAAACACUGACAGAGGAUGACAGAGAAUCUAAGUUGAGACAUGAGACAGUCAAAGAAAUGGUUAACAGAGAAAAAUGGCAGAAACUACAUCCGCUUUUUCAAUUAAGACCACUUUUAAAAUGAAUCUCUUGUAUUAGGACUACAUUUGCUUUUCCAACUUACCACUUGUACUAGAACCACUGACAGAGGAUGACACAGAAUCUAAGUUGAGAUAGUUAAAGAAGAGGUUAAUGAC